rnacentral:lncRNA from 1 species
CGAUCUUGGAGGACUCCAAGAGCGUAUUACCACCACCAAGAAGGGGUCCAUUACCUCUGUGCAAGCUAUUUAUGUGCCAGCUGAUGAUUUGACAGAUCCUGCUCCUGCUACCACCUUUGCACACUUGGAUGCCACAACUGUGUUGUCGCGACAGGUAAAAACUCAUGAACAAUGGAAAGACUCUACUCUACUGGAAUGUUAUGUUUACCUUGUAUUAAUAACUUUCCCCACUUGGCCCUCUUGAACAGAUCUCAGAGCUGGGUAUUUACCCUGCAGUGGAUCCCCUAGAUUCUACAUCCCGUAUGCUUUCUCCUCACAUCCUAGGAGAGGACCACUAUGGAACUGCUCGUGGCGUGCAAAAGGUUCUUCAGAACUACAAGAAUCUUCAGGAUAUCAUUGCUAUUUUGGGUAUGGAUGAGUUGAGUGAAGACGAUAAGUUGACUGUCGCCCGUGCCCGAAAGAUUCAAAGGUUCUUGAGCCAGCCGUUCCAUGUGGCUGAGGUCUUCACCGGUGCCCCCGGGAAGUACGUAGAGUUGAAGGAGAGCAUCCAAAGUUUCCAGGUAUGCAUUCCUUUCCAUUAGCUAUGUUGUGUUAAAUUAACCUUAAUUUUAAAAGUUAAGCUUUGAUAUUGUUGUUUUCCUCUGUCCUGAUGAUUCCGAUAAUGAAUAAAGCACAAGAUAGGGUGAGGGUGAUACUGGCUUGCCCAAGGAUGAUAUGUUCAAAUUUUUCGAGACAAAAAAAGAAUGCCAAACUGCUGGGAAGUUUCUCUUCUGCCUUUUGUUGUUCGAGAAACUUGACCGAAAUAGACGAUGGCAGUUCUGAAUAGUUUCCUCUUCUUUUGUUCCAAUUAUUCGUGGAGCCCGAUUGUAAAUUUUUUGUUAUGAAAAGGGGAAGAGUUGCUCUGCUCAUUUGUUUUCCCGUGGCAUUGCGUUUUGUCGAUGAUUUAUUAUACAGGUUUAAUACGAAAUUAUCUAGAUAGACUAGUCUGGAACCAAGUUCCACAAUUACAUGACUUUAAAAGCACACACCACUUGGCGCAGUUUUUAUUCUGUCUGUCGAAACUGGUGCGAAGUCGAAAAUUUCCAACAGAAAGUAACGGAUUUCGUAUAGUGAUACACCUUCUCACUCGCCUUGCACCAAUGCUUCGUAAACAAAAUUAAUAAAUCCCCCUAUCGGUUCCAUCCAACUAGACAUCAAUGAAGUUAUUUUGUAGUGUGAAGAAUGGUGAUCUGAAUGUACAACGCUCACUACGAAGGGAUGUUUUUGCAUAUACAUAACUGUAGGGGGCUGUGCUAUACCCCUGUAGUUCCAACCGAGAAUCAUUGGUGAGUGAGUGGCUUUAGAAAAACCGCCACCGCUGUUCCAGUUUGGUCGUCUGAGCUCGAGGCAUCCCCUGGUGUAAGCUACGGUCUUACUGGCCCGACUUUUCUCCGAGCUUUGGGAGGUUGUCCACCGACCACCCCGGCUGGAAGCCUUGGACUUCCCACAUAACACAAUCUGAACUUUGCCCCUUGAGACUUUCCGAAUUGCAAACAGUCCCUAUAAUUUUGACAUGUUGCUUACAGAACACUGACAUGUAUUUCUUGGUGAAAUAAGGAAACGAGUUCCGAGUUGUUAGGCAUUUUUGACUCAUUCGUUUACCAAUUCCAGGCCACAAACAGAAGACAAGAGCAAAUACCACAUCGUCCCCAAAACGACAAUAAGGGGCAAAUGUGAGAGAGGAAGAGAAGUAAAAUGGAAAUGAAAAUAGUAAAACAGUAAAGCAGUAAUAGUAAAAGUAGAGAUCCGGAAAAUUAACCUAAACGCUAAUCCGCUCCCCUGUAAAUUUUAUAGGAGAUCACUCCUUUACGAACCCUACCCAGACAGACACAACAAUCCCAUCUCUCCCCCCUCUGAUCUGAAGCCCCUCUACCAUGGCUUCACGCAGAAUCUUACCGUCACUUCUCCGUGCGGCAUCACGCCGAUCCCCUUCAUCUUCCAACCCCAAGCUAUUCUCUCCAUCCCCGGUCUCCGCUCGCCGCGCAUCUCCCUAUGGCCAUCUCCUCAACCGUACAUCUGAGUACGCUACCUCCGCCGCCGCUCCCGCAGCUCCCGCACAAUCGGCUCCUGUCACCGCCGGCGGAAAGGGAGGAGGCAAGAUAGUCGAUGAGUUCACUGGUAAAGGCGCGAUCGGGAAGGUCUGUCAGGUCAUUGGUGCCGUCGUCGAUGUCAGAUUCGACGAGGGUUUGCCUCCGAUCUUGACCGCUCUCGAGGUGCUGGAUAAUUCAAUCCGUCUUGUGCUCGAAGUCGCCCAGCAUUUGGGAGAGAACAUGGUCAGGACCAUUGCUAUGGAUGGUACUGAAGGUUUGGUCAGAGGCCAGCGCGUCCUCAACACUGGUUCUCCCAUCACUGUAAGACCAUCUUUUUGGUUUCUCUCAUUUUCUAUAAUUUGAUUCAUUUAUUGAUUUAAUGGAUAAUUUGGUCUCGGAUUUUUAUAGCAUGAGUUUGAUUGGGUUGUUCCUCAGCUCCAGUUUGAAUUAAGAGAUAUUUCAAUUCACGUUCUCUGGAUCUAGAAUUUUCGUUUACGAACUCUGGAAAUGGGCAGUAUUGGUAAUGAUCUUCUGUCGGAUGGUCAGCGCAGAUGUUAGGUUAUGAACUUGCUCUUGCAUGCGACUGUUCUCAGUCAGCUCGCUACUGUUACUGUGUCUUUUGAAUUUUGAUUGUCUUGGUUUAGUGACAAGUUUUGAUGUUAAACACUGAUUUAGCGUUGUUGAUGUCUUAAGCUCCCACUCUUAGGUUGUGUCAUGUAUUUUUUAUUGUUGGAUUCCACUGUGAUGACAUGCUUUUAUUCGUGGUUGCUACCAACUUAUUGGAAUUGUCCAUCUGUUUCUUUUUUAGGACAUAGUUCUAAUCAUGAGUUUGACAUGAUCAUUUGUGUUUAUAAAUAGGUGCCUGUGGGCAGGGCUACUCUUGGCCGUAUUAUGAAUGUUAUUGGAGAGCCUAUUGACGAGAAGGGCGAAAUCUGUAAGAAGUAUUCUCUAGAUAUUUUGUUUUGAGAGAAUGGAGUUUGCUUAUUUAGGGGUUUGACUUUUAUGCUAUUUGUUCAUCAGCGACCGAGCACUUUUUGCCCAUUCAUAGGGAAGCUCCAUCCUUUGUUGAGCAGGCCACUGAGCAACAAAUCCUUGUGACUGGUAUCAAGGUACUGGCUAGGGAACUAUGUUUGGAAUUUAAAAGAUAUCAUUCUAGCUCGUUUUCUUACUUUUUGGUAUUGGUGAAAUACAGGAAUUGAAUAGUUAUUUUUUGCUUUAUCUCUUUGCAGGUUGUUGAUCUUCUUGCCCCGUACCAGAGGGGAGGAAAGAUUGGUCUUUUUGGUGGUGCUGGUGUCGGGAAGACAGUUCUUAUCAUGGAACUGAUCAACAAUGUUGCUAAGGCCCAUGGUUGGUUGUUCUCUUUUAAAUUUUCCUCCCUGCUUGCGUGUUUUUGUCUAGAUUUCUUAUGUAGAUAAUGUCAAUAGGUGGUUUCUCUGUCUUUGCUGGUGUUGGGGAGCGUACCCGUGAGGGUAAUGACUUGUACAGGGAAAUGAUUGAGAGUGGUGUCAUUAAGCUAGGCGAUAAGCAGGUCUGUAUGUCUUUCUUUCUUGUAGAAGCCUUCUUCAAAGAUAUUGUUCUUUUCUAGUGCUAAGUUCGUUUGCUAAUGCCAAUGUCUUGCCAGGCUGACAGCAAAUGUGCUCUUGUCUACGGUCAAAUGAAUGAGCCCCCGGGUGCUCGUGCUCGUGUUGGUCUCACUGGACUAACUGUUGCAGAACACUUCCGUGAUGCUGAAGGUCAGGAUGUGCUGCUCUUUGUUGACAACAUUUUCCGAUUCACCCAGGUGAAAACCAUUUUGACGACUCUAAUAUGUUCUCCUUACCGCUUUUAUCAGAAAAAAUGUUAACCAAGGUUUGGAGUUUUCCUGUCAUGUAGGCUAACUCAGAGGUGUCUGCCCUGCUUGGUCGUAUCCCGUCUGCUGUGGGUUACCAACCAACUCUGGCUACCGAUCUUGGAGGACUCCAAGAGCGUAUUACCACCACCAAGAAGGGGUCCAUUACUUCUGUGCAAGCUAUUUAUGUGCCAGCCGAUGAUUUGACUGAUCCUGCUCCUGCUACCACUUUUGCUCAUUUGGAUGCCACAACUGUGUUGUCACGACAGGUAAAAGCUCAUGAACAAUGGAAAGACUACUCUGCUGGAAUAUUAUGUUUACCUUGUAUUAAUAAAUUUCCC